UACAGAGGUCUCAAGCGUUGUUCGGAUUCAUUGGGCGUAAAGGGUGCGUAGGCGGCGCGGUGAGUCGGAUGUGAAAUCUCGGAGCUUAACUCCGAAACUGCAUUCGAUACUGCCGUGCUUGAGGACUGGAGAGGAGACUGGAAUUUACGGUGUAGCGGUGAAAUGCGUAGAUAUCUGGAAGAACACCGGUGGCGCAAGCGGAUUGCUGGGCCAUAACUGACACUGAGGAACGAAAGCUAGGGGAGCGAAUGGG
rnacentral:rRNA from 1 species